GCCUGUUCUAGAACCGAUAACCCCCGUUCAACCUCACCCUUCCUUGUUUAACCCGCCUAUAUACCGCCGUCGUCAGCUUACCCUGUGAAGGACUAAUAGUAAGCAAAACUGGUACAACCUAAAACGUCAGGUCGAGGUGUAGCGUAUGGAGGGGGAAGAAAUGGGCUACAUUCGCUACUACAGCGAACACGAAUGAUAUACUGAAACGUAAAUCUGAAGGAGGAUUUAGCAGUAAGCAGGAAAUAGAGCGUCCCGCUGAAACUGGCCCUGAAGCGCGCACACACCGCCCGUCACUCUCCCCAAAAACACCAGUCAAUUAACUAAAACCUAAUAAUUAAAAAGGGGAGGCAAGUCGUAACAUGGUAAGUGUACCGGAAGGUGCGCUUGGAAAA
rnacentral:rRNA from 1 species